CCCAGACUCCUACGGGAGGCAGCAGUGGGGAAUAUUGCACAAUGGGGGGAACCCUGAUGCAGCGACGCCGCGUGGGUGAAGGAGCGUUUCGGCGCGUAAAGCCCUAUCGGCAGGGAAGAAGGAGGACGGCACCUGACUAAGAAGACCCGGCUAACUACGAGCCAGCAGCCGCGGUAAUACGUAGGGGGCAAGAGUUAUCCGGAUUUACUGGGUGUAAAGGGGGCGCAGACGGCAGCGCAAGCCAGGAGUGAAAGCCCGGGGCCCAACCCCGGGACUGCUCUUGGAACUGCGCGGCUGGAGUGCAGGAGGGGCAGGCGGAAUUCCUGGUGUAGCGGUGAAAUGCGUAGAUAUCAGGAGGAACACCGGUGGCGAAGGCGGCCUGCUGGACUGCGACUGACGUUGAGGCCCGAAAGCGUGGGGAGCAAACAGGAUUAGAUACCCCGGUA
rnacentral:rRNA from 1 species